CAUUGCUUUCAUAUUUCUCAUAAUUCAAUUGUUUGUAUUGCCUUCUCCUUGAUUGCCUCAUCCUCUUGAUUUUUCAUUCAACGUUACAUUUCUCAUAACAGUUGGUGGAGAAACUUACAGGGAUAGUAGAGGUUGAAGAAGAUUAUUGGAUGCUAGUAGGCAAAUGGUGGCAAGAUUUAUUAAAAAGAUUGCAAGAUGCACCACCUUGCCAAAGAGAAGAGAAAUGCAUGUAAGUGCAUGAUCAAGUGUUCAAGUGGAAGACAUAUUCAAUUCAUGCAUGGAGUGGAUGAAGCAACAAACAUGAUGGUGGCUUGAAGAUGUGGAAUCAUGAACUAUUAAAAUUGUGAGUUAAGCAAAUGAAAUGAAGGAUGAUGAGAAGAGGUGCAACACUUAACCAAAAGAAAAGAUUGAAUAACAAAAGCAAGUAGAAGUGGAGCAACAAUUGAAGAAAAGAAGAAACAAUGAAGAGAUGGGUUACGG